AUGAUGAUGAUUUGGGGUUCGAUUUGAUGAUUUGGGGGUUCGAUUUGAUGAUUUGGGGUUCGAUUUGAUGAUUUGGGGGUUCGAUUUGGGGUCGGAGCAGGGGUUCCGAGGUGGAGGUGGUGGCGGAGCAGUGGUGGAGCAGUGGCGGAGCAGUGUCGGAGGUGGAGGUGGUGGCGGAGCAGUGGCGGAGCAGUGUCGGAGGUGGAGGUGGUGCCAAGAAGAGGUAAACCUCUGCUUGGAGAAGCUUACCUCUCAUAACUUCCCCAAGAAGAGGUUGGGGAGAGGUAAAAAGCACUUCUCGAAAAAAAAAA